rnacentral:rRNA from 1 species
UGAUUCCUCAUCUGAUAUUGAGCAAUUCUAUAUUAUUAUAGAAAAUUUUAUGUUAAAACUAGUAACAAGAAGUUAAACUUCUCUUAUAUGCGAGUGUACCUCAAAACGGAUAAACCAUUGAUAUUUAACGCCCCUGAGUCUAAAGUAGCACCUACACAAGAAAACUCUACUCUAUUUGCCGUUAAUCUAACACAAGUACAUUUCAAGAAAGAUUUAAAGAAAAAGAAGGAACUCGGCAAAUUUUAACCUCGCCUGUUUACCAAAAACAUCGCCUCUUGACCCCCAAUAAGAGGUCCCGCCUGCCCAGUGAUUAAAUUUAACGGCCGCGGUAUCCUAACCGUGCGAAGGUAGCGUAAUCACUUGUUCUUUAAAUGAGGACUAGUAUGAACGGCACCACGAAGGUUAUACUGUCUCCCUUUUCUAAUCAGUGAAACUAAUUUCCCCGUGAAGAAGCGGGGAUAAUUUAAUAAGACGAGAAGACCCUAUGGAGCUUUAAACACAAUAACAAGUGCUAUUAUACUUUAUAAAUUUCUGAAUUAAACAUAAUUAAGUACUAUGAUUAUUAGUUUUAGGUUGGGGUGACCGCGGAGAAAAACAUAACCUCCACAUUGAAUGAAAAAAAUUCUAAGCCCAGAGCUACAACUUAAAGCAUCAACAUAUUGACAUCAAUUGACCCAAUUAUUUUGAUCAACGAACCAAGUUACCCUAGGGAUAACAGCGCAAUCCACUUUAAGAGCCCCUAUCGACAAGUGGGUUUACGACCUCGAUGUUGGAUCAGGGUCUCCCAGUGGUGCAGCCGCUACUAAAGGUUCGUUUGUUCAACGAUUAAUACCUA